rnacentral:tRNA from 1 species
CAUAGCUCAGUUGGGAGAGCGUUAGACCGAAGAUCUAAAGGUCUCCGGUUCGAUCCCG